CGAAGAGGAGAGCGGUGAAGGAGGGGCGCGGCAGGAUGAGGUGGGGGGGAGGGGGGAGAGGCGGAAAAGGAGAAGAGAAAAAAUUGGGAAAGGAGAGAAGGAGAAAAAAGCCGGAGAGAGGAAGAAAGCGCAGAGAAGAGCAAGGAAAGGAAAAGGAGAGACGGGAGGGAGGAAGGGAGGGAAAAGCGGAGGAAGGAGAGCGGGAAACCCAGGAGUGACAGAGAAGAGAAAGAGGGGGGCAGAGAAGAAGGGAAAGAGGGGGGCAUCCGAGAGAAAGUUAAAUCCCGAAGGAAAAUCCCCGCGUCGCCAAAGAGCACCAGCGGAGGACGGCAAGGCCCUCUGGUCACGGGCAGAGGCGGAGGGCCCCUGCUUGAGGUUGGACGCCCGGAAAGCUGCGCUGUGCUGCGCUUGGCUCGCCGGAUUUUGCCCUUCCCACGAAGCGCCAAGCUCCCAGUCCCGGGGAUACCCACGUGGCCCGAAGGAGGGCGCAAGGAGAACUUCCUCCGGGGGGCUUUGAGACACGCACACACACACAACACACACACUCAUUCGUAAGAGGAAGAAGCUUUAUGGGGAGCUCUGCCUUUCCGUUCCCAAUUCCUCAGGUCUUCCUUGGCCCAGCCUGGCGAUACCUUUGGCCGGCGGACUCCCAAAGCGUGGGAGAGAUGGGGCCGAGCCCGAAAAUCAAAACGCUCCGUGGGGUUAACCUUCAAGAUGGCCACCUGAACAGUUCAGCCCGAAGAUGCCAGGGCAGACGGAUGCUCGGCUUCCGGCUAGGCGGAGAGAUAAAGAAAUGCUUCAAAGGAAGACAGACAAACGGGAAAUGUUGAGGUCUGGGAUUCUGGAAGAUCAGCUCAAGUCAUUUUUUGGAGGACAAAGAACAUGAAUUGACAGUUCCUUGCAAAGCAAAUCCAUUGUCAAUGCCUGUAUACUGAAAAAAGUCUUCAGAUUGCAUCUGUUGGUGUUUCCCCAAUUAUAAGUUGAGGCUUCCAAGAAACAAAGACCAGAGACCAGAGACCAGAAACCAGAGUAUUCACAAUCACACGAAGGAUUAAUGUGAGUAAAACCUCUCAUUAUGAACAUAUUAUGGUACCAAAAAUAUGACUGGGAUGCAUGAGAUGAACUGCUUAAAUUGUGCUCCCCCACAUUUUUCGCAAUUGAUGCUAUCCCUAUUUUUGAGGUCUACUGAGACUGACAACAUUGGAGAAGAUCUUCACAAAUGGAAUUGUUAUUAGUUGCAAAGUAUUAGUUGCAAACCCAUUAUAACCCCAUGGACAACAUUCCUCCAGGCCUUCCUGUCCUCUACCAUCCUCUGGAGUUCAUUUAAGCUCACGCCUACUGCUUCAGUGACUCCAUCCAGCCACCUCAUUCUCUGUUGUCCCUUUCUUCUUUUGCCCUCAAUCAUUCCCAGCAUUAGGUUCUUCUCCAGUGAGUCCUUCCUCCUCAUUAGGUGGCCACAGUAUUUCAGUUUCAUCUUCAGGAUCUGGUCUUCUAAAGAGCAGUCAGGGUUGAUCUCCUCUAGGACUGGCUGGUUUGAUCGCCUUGCAGUCCAAGGGACUUGCAGGAGCCUUCUCCAGCACCAUAGUUCAAAGGCCUCAAUUCUUUGGUGCUCAGCUUUUAUUAUGGUCCAACUUUCACAGCUAUACAUUGCAACUGGGAAAACCAUUGCCUUGACUAUAUGCACUUUUGUUGGCAGGGUGAUGUCUCUGCUUUUUAAAAUGCUGUCUAGAUUUGCCAUAGCUUUCCUCCCCAGGAUCAAGCGUCUUUUAAUUUCUUGGCUGUAGUUCCCAUCUGUGGUCCAGGAAAAUAAAAUCUGUCACUACCUCCAUUUCUUCCCCAUCUAUUUGCCAGGAAUUGAGAGGGCUGGAUGCCAUGACUUUAGUUUUCUUAAUGUUGAGUUUCAAUUCAACUUCUGCACUCUCCUUCUUCACCUGCAUCAAGAAGCUCUUUAGUUCCUUUAUGCUUUCUGCCAUUAGAGUGGUAUCAUCUGCAUAUCUGAGGUUGUUGAUAUUUCUCCCGGCAAUCUUAAUUCUAACUUUUGAUUCAUCUAGCCCCGCCUUUCUCAUGAUGCGCUCUGCAUAAAUGAAAUACAGCCUUUAAAAGCAAGUUGGGGAACUGUCCACGUUGGAGCUAGAAUCAAAAUAUUGAUUCUAUAUGCUAUAGAAGUUGCUAUAUGAUUCAUUUAAAGUAACUACUAUGAAGAAAAUAGCUAUCUCGAUUCAAAUCCAAACAGAAUUUUUGAAUCAAGCUGCUUUUGUAUCCUAUUUUUAGGAUUAAAAUGUUAGAUUUUCAAUAGGAGGCAAAUGUAGAAAAUAUAUAGGCAACUUAUUUUGAGGUUUAAAUGCAUAAAAUGUCAUAGUGCAGAACAAUUCAAUUCAGCCAAUCCAGGCUGCUAUCUAUGAGCAAUAUAUCCUAGAAUAUAAGAUAUAUAUUCUUGGUUCAGCUCUAUUCUAGUGCUUACAGUAAUAUGUAAGCGCUAGAAUAGAGCUGAACCAAGCCAAUCUGGUAUUCAUACUACAAAUUAAAAUACUAGCUUGAGUUCUGAAAAAAACCCUCACAGGUGACUUAAACAUAACAAAAGAUUUAAGAAGUCAGAAAGAAUAUUUUAACUUUAUAAAAA